rnacentral:rRNA from 1 species
UACGUAGGGGGGCAAGCGUUUGUCCGGAUUUACUGGGCGUAAAGCGCGUGUAGGCGGCUCGAUAAGUCUGCUGUGAAAGUCCAGGGCUCAACCCUGGGAUGCCGGUGGAUACUGUCGAGCUCGAGUCCGGAAGAGGCGAGUGGAAUUCCUGGUGUAGCGGUGAAAAUGCGCGAUAUCAGGAGGAACACCAAUGGCAAGGCGCUCUGGGGACGACUGCGCUGAGACG